rnacentral:tRNA from 1 species
GUUUAUAUAGUUUAUUUUGUAAAACCUUACAUUUUCACUGUAAAAAAAAUUAAUUAAUUUAUAAAUU